GCCUGGGUGGCUCAGUCGGUUGAGUGUCAGACUUCUGCUCAGGUCGUGAUCUCGAAGGUUGUGGAUUCGAGCCCCGCAUCAGGCU
rnacentral:tRNA from 1 species